AGGGGGGGGGGUGCCUUAAUCAUGCAAGUCGAGCGGACAGAUGGGAGCUUGCUCCCUGAUGUUAGCGGCGGACGGGUGAGUAACACGUGGGUAACCUGCCUGUAAGACUGGGAUAACUCCGGGAAACCGGGGCUAAUACCGGAUGGUUGUUUGAACCGCAUGGUUCAGACAUAAAAGGUGGCUUCGGCUACCACUUACAGAUGGACCCGCGGCGCAUUAGCUAGUUGGUGAGGUAACGGCUCACCAAGGCGACGAUGCGUAGCCGACCUGAGAGGGUGAUCGGCCACACUGGGACUGAGACACGGCCCAGACUCCUACGGGAGGCAGCAGUAGGGAAUCUUCCGCAAUGGACGAAAGUCUGACGGAGCAACGCCGCGUGAGUGAUGAAGGUUUUCGGAUCGUAAAGCUCUGUUGUUAGGGAAGAACAAGUGCCGUUCAAAUAGGGCGGCACCUUGACGGUACCUAACCAGAAAGCCACGGCUAACUACGUGCCAGCAGCCGCGGUAAUACGUAGGUGGCAAGCGUUGUCCGGAAUUAUUGGGCGUAAAGGGCUCGCAGGCGGUUUCUUAAGUCUGAUGUGAAAGCCCCCGGCUCAACCGGGGAGGGUCAUUGGAAACUGGGGAACUUGAGUGCAGAAGAGGAGAGUGGAAUUCCACGUGUAGCGGUGAAAUGCGUAGAGAUGUGGAGGAACACCAGUGGCGAAGGCGACUCUCUGGUCUGUAACUGACGCUGAGGAGCGAAAGCGUGGGGAGCGAACAGGAUUAGAUACCCUGGGUAGUCCACGCCGUAAACGAUGAGUGCUA
rnacentral:rRNA from 1 species